rnacentral:rRNA from 1 species
ACGGGGUGCAGCAGGCGAGAAAACUUUGCAAUGUGCGAAAGCACGACAAGGUUAAUCCGAGUGGUUUGUGCUAAACGAACCUUUUGACAGUCCUAGAAACACUGUUGAAUAAGGGGUGGGCAAGUUCUGGUGUCAGCCGCCGCGGUAAAACCAGCACCUCAAGUGGUCAGGAUGAUUAUUGGGCCUAAAGCAUCCGUAGCCGGCUCUGUAAGUUUUCGGUUAAAUCUGUACGCUCAACGUACAGGCUGCCGGGAAUACUGCAGAGCUAGGGAGUGGGAGAGGUAGACGGUACUCGGUAGGAAGGGGUAAAAUCCUUUGAUCUAUUGAUGACCACCUGUGGCGAAGGCGGUCUACCAGAACACGUCCGACGGUGAGGGAUGAAAGCUGGGGGAGCAAACCGGAUUAGAUACCCGGGUAGUCCCAGCUGUAAACUAUGCAAACUCAGUGAUGCAUUGGCUUGUGGCCAAUGCAGUGCUGCAGGGAAGCCGUUAAGUUUGCCGCCUGGGAAGUACGUACGCAAGUAUGAAACUUAA